AGUUAACGAUCAAUUGGAAUAUCUAAUGCAGUGUUAGCAAAUUAUGGUUAUUAUCACUGUUUAUACACAGAGAAUUAUCACAAUUGCACGAGAAAGUUUUCCCGCCCAACGCAAACUAAACCUUGCAUACAUAUGCAUGUACAAAAACAAUAUCUAUGUGCUGAGGAGGUUUUUUUAAAUAUAAGUAAGAAAACAGAAGACGUUGAAUAUUGAAAGAGAAAUAAGGACUAGAUGAUGAGAAUGUUGGACUAAUGUCAUUGUUUAUGAAAAGUGAGAAGAGAACUGGAUACUUUCUACAGUGUAGUAUAAGUAUCAGACACUAUGGUAAAUAAAAAAGUAUUUUCGAGAAUUUACAUAAAAUAUACCGUGUUAUGAGAACAAAAUUCAACACGAAAUUGUAAUUUCAUUAACAUUUUACAAAUAGCUACAUCAGUUAAAGAUGUUUUGAUGUCGACAGCCAAGAAGAAAUUUCUCUUUUUUCACUCUCCACGUACACUAGUAGUCAUUAUAAAUUCCUGGCAAGGAGCAAAAUGAGUAACG